GAUGAAGAACGUAGCAAAAUGCGAUACUUGGUGUGAAUUGCAGAAUCCCGUGAACCAUCGAGUCUUUGAACGCAAGUUGCGCCCGAAGCCACUAGGCCGAGGGCACGCCUGCCUGGGCGUCACACGCCGUUGCCCCCCCAUCUACUCCUUCGGGAUUGCGGGGGGGCGGAUGAUUGCCUCCCGUGCGCCUAGCCGCGCGGUUGGCAUAAAUACCAAGUCCUCGGCGACGCACGCCACGACAAUCGGUGGUUGCGAAACCUCGGUUGCCCGUCGUGUGCGUUCGUCGCGCAUCGAGGGCUCGAAAAAAUGCUCGGCUCCGGCUGGGCUUUCAACGCGACCCCAGGUCAGGCGGGGUUACCCGCUGAAUUUAAGCAUAUCAAUAAGCGGAGGA
rnacentral:misc_RNA from 1 species